GAUGAACGCUGGCGGCGUGCCUAAUACAUGCAAGUCGAGCGGACCAAAGAGAGCUUGCUCUCUGAGGUUAGCGGCGGACGGGUGAGUAACACGUGGGUAACCUGCCUGUAAGACGGGGAUAACUUCGGGAAACCGAAGCUAAUACCGGAUGAUAAAGAGAAACGCCUGUUUCUUUUUUGAAAGUCGGCCUUGUGCUGACGCUUACGGAUGGGCCCGCGGCGCAUUCGCUAGUUGGUGAGGUAACGGCUCACCAAGGCGACGAUGCGUAGCCGACCUGAGAGGGUGAUCGGCCACACUGGGACUGAGACACGGCCCAGACUCCUACGGGAGGCAGCAGUAGGGAAUCUUCGGCAAUGGACGAAAGUCUGACCGAGCAACGCCGCGUGAGCGAUGAAGGCCUUCGGGUCGUAAAGCUCUGUUGUCAGAGAAGAACAAGUACCGGAGUAACUGCCGGUACCUUGACGGUACCUGACCAGAAAGCCACGGCUAACUACGUGCCAGCCGCCGCGGUAA
rnacentral:rRNA from 1 species